rnacentral:rRNA from 1 species
UACGUAGGUGGCGAGCGUUGUCCGGAUUUACUGGGCGUAAAGGGAGCGUAGGCGGAUUUUUAAGUGAGAUGUGAAAUACUCGGGCUCAACUUGAGUGCUGCAUUUCAAACUGGAAGUCUAGAGUGCAGGAGAGGAGAAUGGAAUUCCUAGUGUAGCGGUGAAAUGCGUAGAGAUUAGGAAGAACACCAGCGGCGAAGGCGAUUCUCUGGACUGUAACUGACGCUGAGGCUCGAAAGCGUGGGGAGCAAACAGG